UACGUAGGAUGCAAGCGUUGUCCGGAAUUAUUGGGCGUAAAGAGCUCGUAGGCGGUUUGUCGCGUCUGCCGUGAAAGUCCGGGGCUCAACUCCGGAUCUGCGGUGGGUACGGGCAGACUAGAGUGAUGUAGGGGAGACUGGAAUUCCUGGUGUAGCGGUGAAAUGCGCAGAUAUCAGGAGGAACACCGAUGGCGAAGGCAGGUCUCUGGGCAUUAACUGACGCUGAGGAGCGAAAGCAUGGGGGAGCGAACAGG
rnacentral:rRNA from 1 species